GUCUGUAGCUCAGUGGUAAAGCGCUUGCCUGGCAUGUAUAAGGCAUUGGGUUUGAUCCUCAGCACCACA
rnacentral:tRNA from 1 species